rnacentral:rRNA from 1 species
AAGUCUUGACAUCGCACGAGUAGCCUAGAGAUAGGUGAUGCCUUCGGGCGUGCAGACAGGUGGUGCAUGGUUGUCGUCAGCUCGUGUCGUGAGAUGUUGGGUUAAGUCCCGCAACGAGCGCAACCCUUAUUAUUAGUUGCUACGCUAAGAGCACUCUAAUAAGACUGCCGUUGACAAAACGGAGGAAGGUGGGGAUGACGUCAAAUCAUCAUGCCCUUUAUGACUUGGGCUACACACGUACUACAAUGGCGUUUAACAAAGUGAAGCAAAGCCGCGAGGCAGAGCAAAACACAAAAAAACGUCUCAGUUCAGAUUGCAGGCUGCAACUCGCCUGCAUGAAGUCGGAAUUGCUAGUAAUCGUAGGUCAGCAUACUACGGUGAAUACGUUCCCGGGCC